rnacentral:rRNA from 1 species
AUGGAAUUCAUCUUCCCGCCGGUGUGCUGGAACUGGAAGAAGGCCGCCACGGCAGCUCACUCCUCCAGGAACCUCUCCUUCUCCUCGACGCCGUCCUUGAGCAGCGCCGGGAAGAAGAGCCAGAACGAGGUGCCCGCCACGAACAGCCCCACCACCGCCGUCGCCACGGCGCGCGCCCACCGCCGCGCGCACCACCCCUCGGCGACGCAGCAGGCACCGUGCAGGGCAAAAAAGGCGGCCAUCGGAGUACUCCUAGGCAUGGCAACCGGAGGCCGAGGUGGAGAUGGAGCUCACCUUGCAAGUCUGUAG